AUCGUCUGUGCUCUGCCCUGCACCGUGUCCAUGGUGGCCCUGAAGUUCAUGCCAGAGAGCCCAAGGUUUCUGCUAGAGAUGGGCAAACAUGAUGAAGCCUGGAUGAUUCUCAAGCAAGUCCAUGACACCAACAUGAGAGCUAAGGGGACCCCAGAGAAAGUGUUCACGGUUUCCAACAUCAAAACUCCCAAGCAAAUGGAUGAAUUCAUUGAGAUCCAAAGUUCAACAGGAACCUGGUACCAGCGCUGGCUGGUCAGAUUCAAGACCAUUUUCAAGCAGGUAUGAUUGGGAACUUACUUUGGAUGAGAAUGUGUCUCUAUGGGAGUCUCUUACCUUAGUGGAUGAAAAACGCAGCUCCUGAACAUCCCCACCAACCUGGGCCAGCGUGAUGGAGAGGAAGCAACCCUGGAGGGGGGCGUUUGGGCUCCAGCCCACGUCUGCCUCUAGCUUGCUGUGUGCCCUGGAGCUGAAAACUCUCUAAAUCUUAGUUUCUUUUCUUUGUUCUUCCUUCCCAAGGCAGGGAUUUUGAAUGUAG
rnacentral:sRNA from 1 species